rnacentral:rRNA from 1 species
AGAACGAACGCUGGCGGCAGGCUUAACACAUGCAAGUCGAGCGCUGUAGCAAUACAGAGCGGCGCACGGGUGAGUAACACGUGGGAACAUGCCUUUCGGUUCGGAAUAACUCAGGGAAACUUGUGCUAAUACCGGAUACGCCCUUACGGGGAAAGAUUUAUUGCCGAAAGAGUGGCCCGCGUUGGAUUAGCUAGUUGGCGGGGUAAAAGCCCACCAAGGCGACGAUCCAUAGCUGGUCUGAGAGGACGACCAGCCACACUGGGACUGAGACACGGCCCAGACUCCUACGGGAGGCAGCAGUGGGGAAUCUUGGACAAUGGGGGAAACCCUGGAUCCAGCCAUGCCGCGUGAGUGAUGAAGGCCCUAGGGUUGUAAAACUCUUUCGGCGGGACGAUAAUGACGGUACCCGCAGAAGAAGCUCCGGCUAACUUCGCGCCAGCAGCCGC